CGAAAGCGAUGCUAAUACCGGAUAAAAUCCUUAUUUCUUUGGCGAUAAGGAUCAAAGGUGGCCUCUACAUGUAAGCUACUGUUUGGGGAUGAGCCCGCGUACCAUUAGCUUGUUGGCAGGGUAAUGGCCUACCAAGGCAACGAUGGUUAGCUGGUCUGAGAGGAUGAUCAGCCACACUGGAACUGACACACGGUCCAGACUCCUACGGGAGGCAGCAGUGAGGAAUUUUGCGCAAUGGGGGAAACCCUGACGCAGCAACGCCGCGUGAGUGAAGAAGGCUUUAGGGUCGUAAAGCUCUGUCAAGUGGGAAGAACCCGCCUUGAUUUAAUAUAUCAUGGCGCUGACGGUACCACUGAAGGAAGCACCGGCUAACUCCGUGCCAGCAGCCGCGGUAAUACGGGGGGUGCAAGCGUUAUUCGGAAUCAUUGGGCGUAAAGAGCGCGUAGGCGGUCUUGUUAGUCAGAUGUGAAAGCCCGGGGCUCAACCCCGGAAGUGCAUUUGAUACUGCAGGACUUGAGUAUGGGAGAGGGAAGUGGAAUUCCUGGUGUAGAGGUGAAAUUCGUAGAUAUCAGGAGGAACACCAGUGGCGAAGGCGACUUCCUGGACCAAUACUGACGCUGAGGCGCGAAGGCGUGGGUAGCAAACAGGAUUAGAUACCCUGGUAGUCCACGCAGUAAACGGUGAUCACUAGGUGUAGCGGGUAUUGACCCCUGCUGUGCCGCAGUUAACGCAUUAAGUGAUCCGCCUGGGGAGUACGAUCGCAAGAUUAAAACUCAAAGGAAUUGACGGGGGCCCGCACAAGCGGUGGAGCAUGUGGUUUAAUUCGACGCAACGCGAAGAACCUUACCUGGAUUUGACAUCUCGGGAAUUUUGUAGAAAUACGAAAGUGCCCUUCGGGGAACCCGAGGACAGGUGCUGCAUGGCUGUCGUCAGCUGUCGUGAGAUGUUGGGUUAAGUCCCGCAACGAGCGCAACCCCUAUCUUUAGUUACCAUCAUUCAGUUGGGGACUCUGAAGAUACUGCCCCGGUUAACGGGGAGGAAGGUGGGGAUGACGUCAAGUCCUCAUGGCCUUUAUGUCCAGGGCUACACACGUGCUACAAUGGACUGUACAAAGGGUUGCGAGCCCGCGAGGGUCAGCUAAUCCCAUAAAGCAGUUCUUAGUUCGGAUUGGAGUCUGCAACUCGACUCCAUGAAGCUGGAAUCGCUAGUAAUCGUGGAUCAGCACGCCACGGUGAAUACGUUCCCGGGCCUUGUACACACCGCCCGUCACACCAUGAGAGUUGAUUGUACCGGAAGUUGUUGGGCCAACUCAUUAGAGAGGCAGGCACCUAUGGUAUGAUUGAUGAUUGGGGUGAAGUCGUAACAAGGUA
rnacentral:rRNA from 1 species